rnacentral:rRNA from 1 species
GAUGAACGCUAGCUACAGGCUUAACACAUGCAAGUCGAGGGGCAGCAUUUCAGUUUGCUUGCAAACUGGAGAUGGCGACCGGCGCACGGGUGAGUAACACGUAUCCAACCUGCCGAUAACUCGGGGAUAGCCUUUCGAAAGAAAGAUUAAUACCCGAUGGUAUAAUCAGACCGCAUGGUCUUGUUAUUAAAGAAUUUCGGUUAUCGAUGGGGAUGCGUUCCAUUAGGCAGUUGGUGAGGUAACGGCUCACCAAACCUUCGAUGGAUAGGGGUUCUGAGAGGAAGGUCCCCCACAUUGGAACUGAGACACGGUCCAAACUCCUACGGGAGGCAGCAGUGAGGAAUAUUGGUCAAUGGGCGCAGGCCUGAACCAGCCAAGUAGCGUGAAGGAUGACUGCCCUAUGGGUUGUAAACUUCUUUUAUAUGGGAAUAAAGUUUUCCACGUGUGGAAUUUUGUAUGUACCAUAUGAAUAAGGAU